rnacentral:rRNA from 1 species
AUUGAACGCUGGCGGCAGGCCUAACACAUGCAAGUCGAGCGGAUGAAGGGAGCUUGCUCCUGGAUUCAGCGGCGGACGGGUGAGUAAUGCCUAGGAAUCUGCCUGGUAGUGGGGGAUAACGUCCGGAAACGGGCGCUAAUACCGCAUACGUCCUGAGGGAGAAAGGGGGGGAUCUUCGGACCUCACGCUAUCAGAUGAGCCUAGGUCGGAUUAGCUAGUUGGUGGGGUAAAGGCCUACCAAGGCGACGAUCCGUAACUGGUCUGAGAGGAUGAUCAGUCACACUGGAACUGAGACACGGUCCAGACUCCUACGGGAGGCAGCAGUGGGGAAUAUUGGACAAUGGGCGAAAGCCUGAUCCAGCCAUGCCGCGUGUGUGAAGAAGGUCUUCGGAUUGUAAAGCACUUUUAGUUGGGAAGAAGGGCAGUAAGUUAAUACCUUGCUGUUUUGACGUUACCAACAGAAUAAGCACCGGCUAACUUCGUG